AGUGGCCAGCAGCGAGGGUGACAAGGAUGAGCCUCAGCAGCAGGAGCAAUUGCUGUCAUCUCCAUGCCUGGGCUCUGGACUAAGGACUUAUCUAUAAAUUUCUCAGACUAUGACUGUAGAAUUCUAGAGACCACCAUUUAAAGACUGCAGUACUUGGGCCCAGGACUGGAAUACUGGGCCAUGACUGGGCCCCUUGGAUGAUGAGGCCUCCAUGUUCCCACCCAAGGUCCGUUACUCAUGAUGGGAGAGUAUUCCAAAGCCUAGAAAAUAAGACUGCAGAUGAAUUCUUUAAAAGUGCUGUGGACAGUUUGAGGAGGAGAUAGAAUUCUGGCCAGGCAGGGCCCAUCUCUGUUUGCAUGGCUUUAUCCUUCCCUCUGAUUGGGCUUGAGAAGAACCUUCAUGAAAUUGUCAUAGAAACAAACAAUUGCUCUUCAUAGUACCUCGGGGUGUUCUAGAACACCAGGUUAGACUUGAAAGUCUGGGCUGCAUUUCAUGAAUUGUUCUUCAAGAAGUGAUGGAUUAUUUGGAAAUAAUACAUGCUUGGAAACAGUACUAAUACAAACACAGAAUCUACAAAGACUGCAGUUCACAAACUCCUUGGUUGACAGUAAUACAAUAUCAGAAACAUCCCAUUUAUGUUAUGGGCAUGCUCCAGGAGCACUAUAAUUAAUCAGUUUGUUAGAUUGCUGCCACAGUUUGUUU